AGCUAGUGUGGCCUAGUGGUUUGAGUGUUGGACUACAACCCUGGAGUUCAGGGUUCAAUUCUCCGCUUGGCUA